AUACUUACCUAGCAGGGGAGAAACUAUGAUCACGGAGGUGGUUUUCUCAGGGUGAGGCUCACCGAUUGUGCUCUGAGUGUGCUGAGCCCUACAAUUUCCCCAAAUGUGGGACAUUCUACUACAUAAUUUGUGAUAGUGAUGGACGAUACUCUCACUU
ensembl:snRNA U1 U1 spliceosomal RNA